AAUUAAGAACGCGAUAAUGUUUAAAACUUUUAUUUUCCUAUUGCACGAAAUAAGUUGCGAGUCAAUGUAUGUGUGGACCGGGUGCACUUAUGUAUGUGAAUAAAAAAAAAAAUAACAGCACUGCGGACAACGAAGGAAAGACAGAGUAUACAAAACACAAAGACAGAAUAACAAAAUUUUGUUCAAAUUCGGGAAGCGAACGGAUUUUGUGUAAAUAUAGAGUUUUUAACGAAUUUAUUGCCCAGAAUUCGAUUUUUUUUUGGCAUAAAGUCUAAGCAAGAGAGAUAUAAAUUAUAGAAAAGAAAUAACUAUUUGAGAAGAUUGGUGGUGUUGGAAGAGGUUGGAGAUGGAUAAAUACUUGAAAAACCCUUUAACAACUGUGGAUAACACGACUCCAAAAUUGGGUCCCUUAAAACGUGGAGGCCCCGAAUAUCUGGAGGCUGAAAAGUCCCUUCCACUAGUUUUGAAGUGUUUUGGAAUUGAAGUUGCAGGAGGAUUUCAGUUACGUUGACAAUGUAUCCAUUUCUACUGAUUGUUGGACCUCGCGUGCUAAUGAGGCGUAUCUCACUAUAACGUAACACUUCAUUAACGAAUGCUAUGAACUUAAAUCAGCAGUUUUGUCGACGCAAAAACUUGUAGAUGCAACUAACCACUGCGCUAGUAAUAUUGCGAACUCACUCAGCGCCGUUUUGAUUGAGUGGAACCUUUUAAAUAAGGUAGUAUCGAUUGUAACAGACAACGACGCGUCUAUGAAAGAAGCGUGCGAAUUAAUGAUGAUAAUAAAUGAAACAUUUACCUUGUGUCUCGCAUACUAUUAAUGUGUUAGUGCAAGAUCUCCUGAAAAUAGAUUCUAUAGUGCCCUUACUAGCAAGGUGUAAGAGAAUCGUAUCGUUUUUCAAAUCGAGUUCAAUCGCAACAAAGAAACUUAAAAAUGCAAAAACUUCUGAUUCACGCUAUGGACUUGUACAAGAAGUUCCAACGCGUUGGAAUAGCGCCUACUAUAUGAUUCAACGGAUUAUUUUAGUAAAUUACUCGCUUUCUGCAGUGCUUCUAAACUCAACCAAAGCUCCAAGUCCAAUAUCAGCGGACGAAAUGAUCGUUCUGGAUGAGAUAUGUCAAGUUCUAGCUCCGUUUCACAGACUGCGCUUGAACGAUUGCCAGAGCGUUUUUCGCAUUACGAAACUCGGACUGUUACUAGAAUUGCUACAUUACUGGAUCCCAGAUUUAAAAAGGACUGUUUUUUGUUUUCAUCGAACUCAGAGCAAGCCGCGAAAGAUUUGCAGUUAGAGUUAUUUUCAAGUUUGUCCCGAGUUCCUUUCACACGUGAUAUUUCAACACCACCAGACACUCCACAAGAAAAAAAAAACAGUUUCUUUACUUAAUUAGGAACGAAACUUUCAAAUAAAUUUCAUUCGGAACUCAAUAAUGCUAUUGAGGACGUAUUUUGCGAGACCUAAUGAGCCGGAGGAUAAGGAUCCCCUUGCUUAUUGGAUGGAAAACAGUGACAGUCUGAAGCCAAUAACUAAACUUUGUAGAAAUUACCUGUGCAUUCCGGCCAGUUCAACAGAAUCUGAUAGAACCUUCAGUAAAGCUGGUCAGAUUGUAUCUGACCGCAGAGCAUCGCUUAAACAAAAGUAGUUUGCUACUUUUUGUGAACAAAAACCAGAAACAAUGAUCUCUUGUUGUCUUAUUAUGAAUAU